rnacentral:rRNA from 1 species
GACGAACGCUGGCGGCGUGCUUAACACAUGCAAGUCGAACGGAAAGGCCCUGCUUUUGUGGGGUGCUCGAGUGGCGAACGGGUGAGUAACACGUGAGUAACCUGCCCUUGACUUUGGGAUAACUUCAGGAAACUGGGGCUAAUACCGGAUAGGAGCUCCUGCUGCAUGGUGGGGGUUGGAAAGUUUCGGCGGUUGGGGAUGGACUCGCGGCUUAUCAGCUUGUUGGUGGGGUAGUGGCUUACCAAGGCUUUGACGGGUAGCCGGCCUGAGAGGGUGACCGGCCACAUUGGGACUGAGAUACGGCCCAGACUCCUACGGGAGGCAGCAGUGGGGAAUAUUGCACAAUGGGCGGAAGCCCGAUGCAGCAACGCCGCGUGCGGGAUGACGGCCUUCGGGUUGUAAACCGCUUUCGCCUGUGACGAAGCGUGAGUGACGGGAAUGGGUAAAGAAGCACCGGCUAACUACGU